CACCGAGACACUCUUGACUCUUCGUCUUCGUCUGUGCUUUUUUGUUAAGCGUGACAAGUGGCCAACAUCAAAAUCACUUGCCGCAAACGAAAGACGACACUAAUCUUCGUUUAGAAUACGAAACUUUGAAAACUCGAUUAGAGAGCAUCGAGAUUCAAUUUGACCGGCUGAGCUGAGAGGAAGUCCGACUGCUAAAAACAAAGGCUAGCGAAAAAGAUUUACAUACGGGUGAUGUCGCCUCAUCUAUAAAGGUGGAAUUCCAAGAUCUUGUCAUGAAGCCCGAUUGGCUGACCCUUCAUUGUCCACCGGCGUUUACUGGAUUGAUCCCGACGGCCAAGGUGUUGGAGACGAUCCCAUUCAAGUAAAUUGCGACAUGUCUUCAGGAAUGACAAUUAUUGGACACGACACCGAAGCAUCGACAAACGUCGGCCAUUGCACAGAUCCCGGCUGUUAUACGAAACCAAUCGUGUACCAAGCAUCACUAAAACAGAUCACAGCCCUUACACAACUUUCAUCGGAUUGUCGGCAGUCAAUUAAGUACGAGUGCUACUCAGCUCCUCUGCAGUUUGAUGGCGUCGAAUAUUCCUGGUGGAACGACCGCAACGGUAACGAGCAAUAUUACUGGCACGGUAGCGAUAACUCCACACAUAUGUGUUCGUGUGGAAUU
rnacentral:misc_RNA from 1 species